CACGUACUUCCUCCGUCCCAUAUUAAGUGUCUCAAACUUAUCCAAAUAUGAAUGUAUCAUACCUAAAAAGCAUCUAGAUACAUGUAAUAUUUCGACACUUAAUAUGGGACGGAGGGAGUAUCUC
rfam:Brachypodium distachyon strain Bd21 chromosome 1, whole genome shotgun sequence.